AAGUCGUAACAAGGUUUCCGUAGGUGAACCUGCGGAAGGAUCAUUAACACAAGCAGUCAGUGUCGGAAAGUGUCAUUGAUUGUGCAAGGAUAGCGCUUCUACGAUUCCUGUAGACCGUACACUCGGGCAGGAGCUUUGCAAAGGGUCCCCAUGCCCCCUAAUAACCCCACAGUUUAAUGUGAAGCUCAAUGUAAUACAUUGGGUACAAAAACCGAACAACUGUUAACAAUGGAUAUCUUGGUUCUC
rnacentral:misc_RNA from 1 species